AACGGAUUAUUCUUUAUAGCUUGCUAUGAUAACAAUUAGUGGCAGACGGGUGAGUAAUGCAUAGGAAUCUACCUAGUAGUAUGGGAUAGCCACUAGAAAUGGUGGGUAAUACUGUAUAAUCCCUGCGGGGGAAAGAUUUAUCGCUAUUAGAUGAGCCUAUGUUAGAUUAGCUAAUUGGUAGGGUAAAGGCCUACCAAGGCAGUGAUCUAUAGCUGGUCUGAGAGGAUGAUCAGCCACACUGGAACUGAGAUACGGUCCAGACUCCUACGGGAGGCAGCAGUGGGGAAUAUUGGACAAUGGGCGCAAGCCUGAUCCAGCUAUGCCGCGUGAGUGAGGAAGGCCUUAGGGUUGUAAAACUCUUUCAGUGGGGAAGAUAAUGACGGUACCCACAGAAGAAGUCCCGGCAAACUCCGUGCCAGCAGCCGCGGUAAUACGGAGGGGGCAAGCGUUGUUCGGAAUUAUUGGGCGUAAAGGGCAUGUAGGCGGUUCGGUAAGUUAAAGGUGAAAUGCCAGGGCUUAACCCUGGAGCUGCUUUUAAUACUGCC
rnacentral:rRNA from 1 species